AUGAAGACAGACACACUGUUCCUAUGGGUGCUGCUGCUCUGGGUUCCAGGCUCCACUGGUGACAUUGUGCUGACCAAGUCUCCAGGUUCUUUGGCUGUGUCUCUAGGGCAGACAGCCACCAUCUCCUGCAUGGACAGUGAAGGUAUCUACAGUAAUAUGCACUGGUACCAACAGAAACCAUGUCAGCCACCCAAACUCCUCAUCUAUUUAGCAUCCAACCAAGCAUCCGGGGUUCCUGCCAGGUUCAGUCGGAGUGGGUCUAGGACAGACUUCACUUUCACCAUCAAUCCUAUGGGGGCUGAUGAUGAUGGAGACUAUUUCUGUCAGCAAGGUAAUAAGCUUCCUCCCACAGUCCUCCAGGCCUGA